UACGGAGGAUGCAAGCGUUAUCCGGAAUUAUUGGGCGUAAAGCGUCCGCAGGUGGCACUUCAAGUCUGUCGUCAAAGACCGGGGCUUAACCCUGGAAAGGCGAUGGAAACUGAAAGGCUAGAGAGAGGUAGGGGUAGAGGGAAUUCCCAGUGUAGCGGUGAAAUGCGUAGAGAUUGGGAAGAACAUCGGUGGCGAAAGCGCCCUACUGGACCUCAUCUGACACUCAGGGACGAAAGCUAGGGGAGCGAAUGGG
rnacentral:rRNA from 1 species